CCCCUCCAGCCCCCACCCCGGCCGCCGCCGCCGCGUCCACCCCAGCCCCCACCUCGGCCGUCGCGGCACCCCAGCCCCCACCCCGGCCGCCGCCGCGCGCCCACUCCGAGCAGUCAGCGGCUCAGCGCCGACGCAGGUGCCGCCCCCGCCCCCGCCGGCCGCCGGUCUCCUCGCCUCUCGACGCACGCCUGCGCCAUGGAGACGCUCUCGGCGUAGGCACUGCUCCAGCCGUGGGGCGUGACCGAGCCGCCGCCGCCGCCCCCGCUGCCGCCGGUCAUCACCACCUCGCCUCCGACGCUCGCCAUGGAGACGUACAAAUUUCGGGUAGUUCGGGGUAACCCGAACCCGAACCCGAAUUUUCGGGUACCCGAAAUGUCGGGUUUUCAUUAUUUCGGACAAAUUUCGGGUUACAGAUUUCAAAACCCGAAAUUCUCAAAACCCGAAAUACCCGACCCGAAUUUUUCGGGUUACCCGAAUGCCCACCCGUAGCCGACUUCAUCGACGUCAUUGACUACCUCGGUCACGCGCUUAAGAUCAGAAUCAGGUGUGCAGAUUUUGUUGACAAGCGGAAGGCUCCUGCAGAUGAAAAAGCGCACAAAGGUGGCCCAAAUCAAACGAGCAACGCUUCAAGGAUCAGGCCCAUGAACUAAUAGGACGGUGGAGGAGGCCUAAUAGGACGUUGGCUUUCCAAUGGUUAAAAGUUUUUUUUAGAAAGACACCAUAAAGCUGUCUCAUAAUAUCUGAUUCGUAUUAAAGAAACCAAUUAUAAUGAUUAAAUUAAGAGAUGGCAAUGGAUCUUCCUAAAAAAUAAAGAAAGAGAUGGCAAUGGAUACUGGACCGAAAUUUUUAUCUCAUUUGGUUCAACAUAGUGCAGGCUAGGCUUGAAAUCGGGGGCUCCCCAGUCACCUCACGUCACGGCUCACGGCUCCGGAAUCAGCAGGAGAGACGUCCACGUCACGCGGGAUCCUCUGCAUCAGCCGCCGCGAGUUUUAUAGAUAAAAUCCAGCCAACACUAUGCACAAUACUGAGUACUCCUACCAAUUACAGAGUGCAGGCUAUAUAAACUUGUAGUAAAUGGAUUACUGCUUCAAAAUGACGGGUCAC